rnacentral:lncRNA from 1 species
AUUUAUCUAUCAAUUCAUAUUGCGAUGAAAUGUUGAAUAACAUCUAUUUGUUUUGAUGUUGUAGGUUUUUAUUCUAGCUCUAGAGAAUCUUUUCAAUCCAAAAUACAUUUUGUACGAUGGACAAGACUCGGGUAAUUGUGUUUUCUUAUAAUACAUAAGAUAUAUGCUAAGUUUUGAAAAUAAUUGCAUUUAACUUAUGUUUCCAUGUUGUAUUCUCAAAACCAACUAAACAAACUUCGAAGAGUUCUAAAAGAAGAAGAGCUUCAAUUGCUAAUGCAAUUCAGGAGACAAGUAAGAGACUAAACAAUUCCAGUGAACAAGACAAUACUAUAACUAGUCC